ACGAACGCUGGCGGCGUGCUUAACACAUGCAAGUCGAACGGAAAGGCCCUGCUUUUGUGGGGUGCUCGAGUGGCGAACGGGUGAGUAACACGUGAGUAACCUGCCCUUGACUUUGGGAUAACUUCAGGAAACUGGGGCUAAUACCGGAUAGGAGCUCCUGCUGCAUGGUGGGGGUUGGAAAGUUUCGGCGGUUGGGGAUGGACUCGCGGCUUAUCAGCUUGUUGGUGGGGUAGUGGCUUACCAAGGCUUUGACGGGUAGCCGGCCUGAGAGGGUGACCGGCCACAUUGGGACUGAGAUACGGCCCAGACUCCUACGGGAGGCAGCAGUGGGGAAUAUUGCACAAUGGGCGGAAGCCUGAUGCAGCAACGCCGCGUGCGGGAUGACGGCCUUCGGGUUGUAAACCGCUUUCGCCUGUGACGAAGCGUGAGUGACGGUAAUGGGAAAAGAAGCACCGGCUAACUACGUG
rnacentral:rRNA from 1 species